UACGAGGGGGGCAAGCGUUGUCCGGAAUUAUUGGGCGUAAAGAGCUCGUAGGCGGUCUGUCGCGUCGAAUGUGAAAACCCGGGACUCAACUCCGGGCCUGCAUUCGAUACGGGCAGACUAGAGUUCGGUAGGGGAGACUGGAAUUCCUGGUGUAGCGGUGAAAUGCGCAGAUAUCAGGAGGAACACCGGUGGCGAAGGCGGGUCUCUGGGCCGAUACUGACGCUGAGGAGCGAAAGCGUGGGGAGCAAACAGG
rnacentral:rRNA from 1 species